GGUUAUGGCUCAGUGGUACAGUGCUUGCCUAGCAUGUGUGAGGCACUGGGUUUGAUUCUCAGCACCA
rnacentral:tRNA from 1 species